GGCGAGAUGGCCGAGCGGUCUAAGGCGCCAGACUAAGGUAGCUUACAUAAUCUGGUCCUUCGGGGCGUGGGUUCGAAUCCCACUCUCGUCA
rnacentral:tRNA from 1 species